AUUGAACGCUGGCGGCAGGCCUAACACAUGCAAGUCGAACGAGUGGCGGACGGGUGAGUAAUGUCUGGGAACCUGCCCGAUGGAGGGGGAUAACUACUGGAAACGUUAGCUACUACCGCAUACCAUCGGAUGUGCCCAGAUGGGAUUAGCUAGUCGGUGGGGUAACGGCUCACCUAGGCGACGCUCCCUAGCUGGUCUGAGAGGAUGACCAGCCACACUGGAACUGAGACACGGUCCAGACUCCGACGGGAGGCAGCAGUGGGGAAUAUUGCACAAUGGGCGCAAGCCUGAUACAGCCAUGCCGCGUGUAUGAAGAAGGCUUUCGGGUCGUAAAGUACUGUCAGCGAGGAGGCGUUACUCGCAGAAGAAGCACCGGCUAACUCCGUGCCAGCAGCCGCGGUAAUAC
rnacentral:rRNA from 1 species